GGAGGUUACUGCUAUCGGUGUCCGCCUAACCCAUGCAAGUCAUAUGUUCUUCGUGAACAUGGCGUACUGCUCAGUAACACGUGAAUAACCUGCCCUUGGGACCGGCAUAACCCCGGGAAACUGGGGAUAAUUCCGGAUACCGCAUAUAUGCUGGAAUGCUUUAUGCGUGAAAUGGAUUCGUCUGCCCAAGGAUGGGUCUGCGGCCUAUCAGGUAGUAGUGGGUGUAAUGUACCUACUACCCUACAACGGGUACGGGUUGUGAAAGCAAGAGCCCGGAAAUGGAUUCUGAAACAUGAAUCCAGGCCCUACGGGGCGCACCAGGCGCGAAAACUUUACAAUGCGGGAAACCGUGAUAAGGGGACACCGAGUGCCACCAACAUUUGUUGGCUGUCCAGGUGUGUAAACUACACCUGUUAGCAGGGGCCGGGCAAGACCGGUGC
rnacentral:rRNA from 1 species